UACGGAGGGUGCGAGCGUUGUCCGGAAUCAUUGGGCGUAAAGGGCGCGUAGGUGGCCCGGUCAGUCGAUGGUGAAAGCGCGGGGCUCAACUCCGCGUCGGCCGUCGAUACUGCUGGGCUUGAGCACUGUAGAGGCAGGCGGAAUUCCGGGUGUAGCGGUGGAAUGCGUAGAGAUCCGGAAGAACACCGGUGGCGAAGGCGGCCUGCUGGGCAGUGGCUGACACUGAGGCGCGCAGCGUGGGGAGCAAACAGG
rnacentral:rRNA from 1 species